UGAAGGUACCACUUGAAUAAGGAUCGGCUAACUCCGUGCCAGCAGCCGCGGUAAUACGGAGGAUCCGAGCGUUAUCCGGAUUUAUUGGGUUUAAAGGGUGCGCAGGCGGCGCUUUAAGUCAGUGGUCAAAUCGUGAGGCUCAACCUCAUCCCGCCAUUGAUACUGGAGCGCUUGAUUGCGGUUGAGGUAGGCGGAAUUCGUCGUGUAGCGGUGAAAUGCAUAGAUAUGACGAAGAACCCCGAUUGCGUAGGCAGCUUACCAAGCCGUAAAUGACGCUCAUGCACGAAAGUGCGGGGAUCGAACAGGAUUAGAUACCCUG
rnacentral:rRNA from 1 species